GCUGUUCUAACGAGGGAGAGAGAAAAAGCCAGCGAUGAAAGGAACCGGGUGGCUGUGUUAGGAAAAGUACCCCUCACAGACUCACUCCGCAGACAAGACGGGAACCCAGCAGCAGCAGCCAUGUUGGACCUCCUGAUACUUCGGGGAAAGAGAGGGGGAGACGCGUGAGCCCAGCCUUUGCCGUUUUUUGGAACCAGAGCCAAAAGAGGCAGGAAGUUGUUUUACAAUAGCCUUACAGUAAUCUGCCACAAAUGGAAAAAGCCAAAUGCUGGUCGCAGAGUGGAGAAGGUGGCGGGACAGAGAGAGAGAGAAGCGGGGAGAGAGGAAAGGAGAGAAGGAGCAUAAAAAACUGAGACAGGCAGACACGUGAAUCAAAAGAAUAAUCAGUAUGAACUAAGAUGGAGGACUGGUCUGCCAUGUUGUUUUGUAGUCCUGUAGUACAUAAUUGUGUGUGUGUUUGUGUGUGUGUGUGUGUGUGUGUGCGCGCACAUUCACUCACACAGCAGGGUUUAGGGAGGGUGGAGCGCGUCACGAUGCAGGACUCAAGACGAUUCUAGGGUAAGGGAUACUUUAGACCCAAAAACACUCAACAAUCUUUUCCUAUUGGUUUUAAAUAUGAUACGUUUUUAGUCAGUACAGCCGUAGUUCCUGGGUUAUUUGGAUAAGCUAUCCUCUGCCUUUAUACCCAGGACAAAUCAGAACCACUCGUGUUUUCUGUGAAUUCACCAUCACAUUGUAAUCACAGCAGCUGUUUUUCUUCCAGAAAAGCAGUGAGGUCUCAUACAGAAUGGUUAUCAGGCUUUUGACUCCUUGACAAAAUAGCUGUAAGGGUCGUGCAAUGUUUAGCCCCUCGGAGUGAUCGAGUCAGGGCAGGCGGAGGAGGGUCUUGCUGUACUGUAACUCUACAAACCCUGCUCCUACCCUGCCACGUGCUACACUACAGUAUUAUACGCAAGUAGCUUAUGUUUUUAGUCUUCUCCAUGCUGCUUCCACGCUAGCUGCUGUGUCAUGCUAAAGAGUUUAUACUCUGUCUUUGAGUCGUGGCUGGCUGCAGAAUGUGAUCCAGACAGGCUGUUGCAGCUUGACGACAGAGAGAGCGCUAUAGUACUCUAAUGUACGGUACCAGAUAAGGUUAAUCAUUUAACCUGCUCUCAGAAGUGUUGCAUAUUUCAAGUUCCUUAUCCACUCUGAGUGUUUGUCUGUUGAUCUCUUUUCUCUCGCUUUUCUCCCUCUCUUUUCUCUUUUCUCUCUCUUUUCUCUCUCCUUCUCUCUCUUCUAUCUCUCUCCUUCUCUCUCUAUUUUCUCUCUCUUUUCUCUCUUAUUUCUGCUCUUCUCUGUAGUUGAUUGCCGGGGUGUAGUGUGUGCUAGUAUGGCGUGAGUGUGUGCACUGCGUCUGCGCACUGCUGGAGGAGUGGAUUUCUGUGUCAUUCUUCCUCCUCUACCCCCUCCCACCCUUGCCUGCUUUCCGCCCUCCCACUCUCUCUCCCCUCUCUCUCUUUCUCUCUCUCUCUUUCCCUCUCGGCCUCCAUCUCCCUUCCUUCAUUCUCUCUCCCUCCCUCUCAAGUGCAAAUACAGUUCCUUGCCGUGUUGGACGUGUGAUCAAGAAGUGUCUGGCUCUCGCGCUCCGCCGCACCUCCUAUUUCAUCAUCACUUGAGAUUUUCUCUCCUUCACUCUGCGCUUGCUAUCUCCUCUCCUCUAUCCUCGCUCCUCUUCUCUCUCCUCCUCUCCUCUCUCCUCCUCUCCUCUCUCCUCCUCUCUUCUCUCGCUCGCUCCCCUUCUCUCAGCUCCAGCUGCAUGCAAGGGAGAGACUCAGGCUCUGUGGGGAAGAAAAAAGAAAAAGAAAAGAAGUCUGCUGCUAUUCCUGCAGUCAGGGCCUCCCCACAGCCCGCCCUUCCACAGAGGGACAUUUUUUACUACUAGCUGGAUUUUAACCCUCUGCCUCCAACUAUCUGCACAGUGGCUCGGCAAAAACCUGGCAACAAGAUGCUUUUUUGGGGCCUUUUCAUAGUUUCGCGUGCCGAUUUUUGCGGCAGUUUGUAUCAUGUUGUUAUUUCUCCUAUAUGGUGUUAUUUUUUUAUCUGCAUUGUUACCCAGAGUUGUGUAUUUUUAUGUGAAAGAAUUUCUGUUGGCGUUUCUUUUAAAUAUCAUCUUAUUUUUGUCGUUGUUUUGUCGUUUUUGUCUCCCGCCACGUGAUGGGCCUUCUUCCUCCUGGAGAUGUGUGCGUACGGGCGCCAUUCCAUUUCUGCUGGGUUAAGCCCUCUUCUUCACACUCUUCCUCCUAGUGACUGUCUGUGGGUGACAAGCAGGAGAAUGUUCAGUCUCUGAGUGUGUUGCACAUCUGCGUGUUAAAGACAUGCUCUUUGUGAGCGCCAGAAACUCUCUCACCUAGAAGUACUGCACCUCCCUCUUCUUCCUUGCUUUCACUGUGUCUUUUCCUCUCGCACCCUCUCUUUCCCUCCCUUGUUCUCUCUCUCCCUCUCUUUUGAAUGAUAUGUUGGGCUGGAGCUCUUUCUGGGACAGGUGCCUCCCCCCCAAAAAAUGACAGAAUAAUGCUGAUUAUUUUAUUUUUUUCAGCGAAAACAUAAGAAGUGACCGUGAUUUUGUUGCACCGAUGCAUGAUUGAGUUAAGUAUUAUAACUGAUUUCAGGGGCUGAGACAGCUUGGGAAAUGGAGGUUUGAAUACUUACUGUAACUGCACUUAGUCUGGUAACGAACACAUUCGAGUUGGGAAGACAGAGGGAGGGAAGAAGGGAGGGAAGAAGGGAGGGAAGGGAGAGAGGGAGGGAGUGGGGUUCCUUUUUCAGACUGCUGAAUUAUUCAUGUGGGCAGCCAAGGCUGUGAUUGGACUGGUUGUGCUAUUUGCAUGCAUCAGACAUGCUGUUUGUCUGUUUGCUAACAUUCCUCAUUCAAAGACUUGUUAACUAGCAGACGGCUUAGCUGGAGCCUUCCAGACAGCCUCAUGGCCUCCUUUUGUUGCAGGCACGCCAGGCCUGGGCCCAGCCCAUGGCGGCCAGGCGAGGUAGCAGCGGCCGUGGGUCUUUGCUGGGCUACGAGAGGGACUGCCUGGAGAGUCACUGGGCCUGCCUGCCUAGCUGCUUUACCAGAGCUGCCAGGGACACAGAGGAUGAUGGCUUUCUGUUCUCCUCAACAGAUACUGUAUGUGGAUCCCGCAGGAAAAAAAGAGAAGAAGAGAGAACCUGCUUAGAAUUUCACCUCCGGAUUCGGAAUGUUUCGGAAUCGCCUCUACUGUGGAAUAUCUGUAGGCUGCAUGACUUAGGCCUCGGCCGAUGGUACAGGACUUUUAGCCAAGCAGAGAACCCCAUGGUCAGACAGAUGGCCCUAGCAGUAAGUAACAUAUUGUAAGCUAUUUUAUAUUAUAUCAUAUUGAAUAGAUUUGGAUUUGUUUAGUAUUUAUGACUGCCCCCAUCUUAAUUUGAAACAGCAAUUAGCAAGUGCAGGUGAUUGAAACACACACACAAACACACCGUACCUAAUCUUUAGAAUCCAUUGGGCCAACGAAGUUCAGCCUCAUAGUCGACCACCACUAUCUCUCUGCUGUGCCUGGAGCCAUUACAAAAUGGCCUCCACUCUCUGCCUCCAGCUCCUUGUAGCUCUCCCAUCCAUUUUGUGUGCUACUGUCAAAGUUGUCAGAUAGCAAGAUGAGAGGAGAGGGAGAGAGAGGGACAGUUCAAGUGAAGGGAUAGGUGAGGCUAGGCUAGAAAGGACGUAGAAAAGAGGAGGGCACUAGUCCAGAGUUUCUUUUUUGGGGGGGGGUAUUUCUUAUUGGAGGUUUAAUUGCUGACUGACUGACUAACUGCAUACAAACAAGCAGCGCCUAUGGAGCCUUCCCAGCUCCUCUUCUCGAAGAGCUGACCUUGGGCAGACGCCAUAAAUUGUUAUUUUCUAGUGGCCCAAAAUGUGCUACAGCCUGCAGUUGCCCCAGCCCGCUCUGUACCCCGCCCCGACUACCCCAGCAAGCCUGUGCCUGGCCCGGAAACACAACCUUCCUGUCAUGCUUUCAGUGCAGAAGAAUAGGAGCAGGGGCCGCUCUAGCUCUCUCCAACAUCCCUAACUGUUUCCCCUACUCCAGGCUACAGCCCCAGCCCAUGCCUAUGCCCUAGUUGUAGUUGCAGGCCCCAGCCCUAGCUCCAACCUCAACCCCAGCCCCAGUUCCAGCCCUAUGCCCCAUGCCCCAUCCUCAGCCAAGCCCCAAAUCCCAGCUCCAAACCUGACCCCAACCUCACCCCCAGUACAAGCCCUAUGCCCCAUCCUCAGCCAAGCCCCAAAUCCCAGCUCCAAACCUGACCCCAACCUCACCCCCAGUACAAGCCCCAUGUACUGCCUACAGCUCUAGAAGUCAGCACAUGCCAGGCAUUCGAUUACACAUGCAUAGGAUGUAUAGAUCCCAUGUUGCUUAGGCCUAAGACCACGGCUAUAGGGAACCACACACCCCCUUAUCUGAUCUCUCUAGUAAUGUGGGAAACAGCUUCAAAGACCCAUGGGGGCAAUACUUACGAACAUUAGAAAAAGUUUAAGUUCAAGGUUAAGUUUAAGCAUCAGCCAAUUAAAAUCGGCAACGUAGUUGGACGUCAUUAGCUGUUCCCGUUACAUAAGGUUGCACAUUUAGCCCUAGGCUAACCUCAGCAAGUGUCCGUAUCAAACCAAUUAAAAUCGUCAACGUAGUUGGACAUGGUCCAACAGCACUUUCUGAUAAUCAAAGCAACUCCAUCACAUUUGACUGACUGGUCAAAUAGCUCUUUGUGUAGAGUGCCUAGCUCCACGUAAUUGUCCAGAUUGUGGCAAGGGUUUGAAUCUCACAUUAGUUUUUUCCCCCUUUGAAAUGUAGAAUUACAUGUAUUGUGUUAGUGUGUUGAAAAUGGACACCCUACCGCCAACAGCUUGAAAAUGAAGAUUAAGAAUGAAUUUAAUAAGGAGCUACCUCGUUCUUCACUUUUGCAGACAAGCACACUGCUAUGGCCAAAUAAUCAUAUUGCAUAGGUUAUAUUACAUGGACAUGCACACCUAAAUGUAGGCCUAUAACCUUUUAUAUGCAUUUGUAUAAUGAUCUACUCUGUCACACACGUGUUAUUUGGUUCAAAGACAAGCAUUAAAUCGAAUCAAAUCAUCAAAUCAAAUGUUAUUGGUCACCUACAUAUGGUUAGCAGAUGUUAAUGCAAGUGUAGCGAAAUGUUUGUGCUUCUAGUUCCGACAGUGUAGUAAUAUCUAACAAGUAAUCUAACAAUUCCCCAACAACUACCUAAUACACACAAAUCUAAAGGGAUGGAAUAAGAAUAUGUACAUAUAAAUAUAUGGAUGAGCGAUGGCCGAGCGGCAUUGGCAAGAUGCAAUAGAUGGUAUAAGAUACAGUAUAUACAUAUGAGAUGAGUAAUGUAAGAUAUGUAAAUAUUAUUCAAGUGCCAUUGUUUAAAGUGACUAAUGAGUCUCUAUGUAGGCAGCAGCCUCUCUGAGUUAGUGAUUGCUGUUUAGCAGUCUGAUGGGCUUGAGAUAGAAGCUGUUUUUCAGUCUCUCGGUCCCAACUUUGAUGCACCUGUACUGAUCUCGCCUUCUGGAUGGUAGCGGGGUGAACAGGCAGUGGCUCGGGUGGUUGUUGUCCUUGAUGAUCUUUUUGGCCUUCCUGUGACAUAGUGUGCUGUAGGUGUCCUGCAGGGCAGGUAGUUUGCCCCCGGUGAUGCGUUGUGCAGACCGCACCACCCUCUGGAGAGCCUUGCGGUUGAGGGCAGUGCAGUUGCCGUACCAGGCGGUGAUACAGCCCGACAGGAUGCUCUCAAUUGUGCAUCUGUAAAAGUUUGUCAGGAUUUUAGGUGACAAGACAAAUUUCUUCAGCCUCCUGAGGUUGAAGAGGCGCUGCUGUGCCUUCUUCACCACACUGUCUGUGUGGGUGGACCAUUUCAGUUUGUCUGUGAUGUGUACGCCGAGGAACUUAAAACUUUCCACCUUCUCCACUCUGCUGUUUCCUGAAGUCCACGAUCGUCUCCUUUGUUUUGAUGACGUUGUUGUCCAUUUCAUGAGGAGCUUCUUGUCGGAGCAUCUUGCAGACCGACAAAUAGGCAACUGACACUGCUACAUAAAUAAUCAACGCUACUAUAGUAUAGGCUAUAUACAUAGACGUGUAGCCCUAUACUAAACUUGUAUAUGCAUUAAAAGCAAUGAACAGUGUUUUCCUUAACAUUAACAAAAAUGUUUAAAGCGAGGGGUCUCGAACCCACAGUUAUGUCAUAUUUGCAAAAACGUAACGUUAGCAGUGCUGCAUUCGUAACCAAGUGGAAAGUGGGAAUUUACCCCAAACGAAUGGAAAAAAAUCCACUUGAACAGCCCUACAACUGGUGAUUCCUUGUGGGAAACUUGUUUAUCAUCCUGAGCUUUUAUGGUUUACGCAGCUUGUUGGUCAUUAGCAAAUUGGCAUUUCUCAACGAGUUCAAAGCAAGUGAAUGCAUCCAACUGCUAUUUACGACUUCACAACUGGUGCAUUUCUGCCUCCCACUUGGUUACAAAUGAAGCAUAAUUAUCCUAGUCAAGGAUGCGACGAUCAUGCAAUAUUGGCACUCUACACUUGAGACAGACCAAGUGAAGAGGAACAAAAGUAAACCUUGAAUUUGGAGGUUUAAAUGUACCUCUCUGGUGGCGAUAUUGACCUAUUUUAAAAAAUGCCAUUGGUGUGUCAAGAAAAAGUGGGCAGUUUGUUACAGGAAAUAAUCACGGCCUCCGGGAUUUCUCUAAUGUUCGCAAGUAUGGCCCCAUUCAUCUAUGCUAAGACAACUGUGCAUCGUUCCUUCACUAGCAAUGUUAGCAAAUUCAGAUGGUGCUCUCUUUUUAGCAAUGUGGGAAUCUAUAGCCUAUAGGCUACUGCCCGCAUAGACUAGAGCCACAUAGACUAGAGCCACAUAGACUAGAGCCACAUAGACUGAAGCCACAUAGACUAGAGCCACAUAGACUAGAGCCACAUAGACUAGACAGAAGCCUGUGUUCGGCUGUUGAACACCCUUCAGACACACUCUCUUUGGGGACAGACAGUCUCACCACCGUACUAUAGCUCAAUUCUUUAAUCUGUUCUCGCUCUCUUUACUCUCCUUCCUCUAAUCUGCCCAUGGGCUCCAGUAUGACACAGAAUGGCCUCCAUAUUGUGUUUGUGGAAUUAAUUAUAAAUAUCGCAUUAACCAUGCCUUAUCUGUGUAUCAUCUAUCCAGAGACAUAAGCACCCAUUUCCCCAUGCAUCCAUACCCAGACCAGACCUUAUGGAAAUGAUACUGUGAAGCUGCCUUGCCUCUGGUGGGCCCGUGUCUUUAUGGUUACACAGAGCAGAUGGCCACGCAACAUGGUCACAUAUCUCACGCUAACACUCACUGGCACUGCCACAUGCACACACACACACGCACAUACAGCCAUGCACACACGCACAUACAGCCAUGCACGCACGCGCGCACACACACACACACACACACACACACACACACACACACACACACACACACACACACACACACACACACACACACACACACACACACACACACACACACACACAGGCCUGAAGAAAUAUCAAGUUGGACUCAAAAGGUUUUUAUUUUAUCUCUGAUAUGCAUUAGUCUGCUUUAUCAAUGCAUUUUAUGGUUGUCAUGUAUGACUAAUUAUACAGCUAGCUGGCAUUGAUAGCAAUGGUUUACAUGGCAGACCUUAUCCUGACAAAAGAUUGAACUGUACAAUAGUUAACUGUAGCUAACUCUGUGGUAGCUAACUGUCGGCUAUAGCUAACCAUAGCUAAUUGUAUAGAUAACUGUACAGUAGCUAACUGUAGCUAACUAUAUGGUAGCUAACUGUCGGCUAUAUCUAACCAUAGCUAAUUGUAUAGCUAACGGUACAGUACAGUAGAUAACUGUACAGUAGUAGCUAACUGUCCUAGCUGCUAGCCUGUUUGUCAAGGUUACUGUAUGUACUGUAGUACACCUCCUGUUUGUCCACUCUGCCAGCCAGUGGUCCAGUAAUGUUCAGAGCCAGGGAGAGAGAGCAGAGGAGAGGUAUGUGUCCCACCCUCUAUUAAUAGACCUACGACAGAUGCAGCUUUGUGUCGGCAGGGCACUCCGCAGCAGGCGCUAGCCUCGUCAGAUGGCCAGGGGCUGGGGCACCGUCAAACUGAAGGAGGCAGCCGGCAGGCAGAGGGGUGGACGUUUCAGAUCUGUUGACUUGUCUUAAUGGACAAGAGGCCCUCUGGGUCACCAGGAAGAUGCAUGGGUAAUAGGGUUAGGGUGUUAGCAUGGUGGCUUAUGGGAAGUAGUGGGACUGUGACCUUUACUGAGUGCAUGUCUAUGUGCAUGCUUGUGUCCGUGUGUGUGAUGAGAAGCAGCUGGAGGGUAAAGCUCCCUCCUCUGGGUGAUCCCAGCUGCAUGCCCUGUCGCUGCAAUGACUGAGGCCAUUGUUCUUCUACAAAGAUGAGGCUAGUGCUAGAUCAGCUAACUGGGGCUAGAUCAGCUACCUGGUGCUAGAUCAGCUAACUGGGGCUAGAUCAGCUAACUGGUGUGAGAUCAGCUAACUGGGGCUAGAUCAGCUACCUGGGGAUAGAUCAGCUACCUGGGGCUAGAUCAGCUAACUGGGGCUAGAUCAGCUAACUGGGGCUAGAUCAGCUAACUGGGGCUAGAUCAGCUAACUGGGGCUAGAUCAUCUAACUGGUGCGAGAUCAGCUAACUGGGGCUAGAUCAGCUAACUGGGGCUAGAUCAGCUAACUGGGGCUAGAUUAGCUAACUGGUGCGAGAUCAGCCACCUGGGGAUAGAUCAGCUAAUUGGUGCGAGAUCAGCUAACUGGGGCUAGAUCAGCUAACUGGGGCUAGAUCAGCUAAUUGGUGUGAGAUCAGCUAACUGGUGCGAGAUCAGCCACCUGGGGAUAGAUCAGCUAAUUGGUGCGAGAUCAGCUAACUGGGGCUAGAUCAGCUAACUGGGGCUAGAUCAGCUAACUGGGGCUAGAUCAGUUAACUGGGGCUAGAUCAGCUAACUGGGGCUAGAUCAGCUACCUGGUGUGAGAUCAGCUAAUUGGUGCGAGAUCAGCUAACUGGGGCUAGAUCAGCUAACUGGGGCUAGAUCAGCUAACUGGGGCUAAAUCAGCUAACUGGUGUGAGAUCAGCUAACUGGGGCUAGAUCAGCUACCUGGGGAUAGAUCAGCUACCUGGUGCUAGAUCAGCUACCUGGGGAUAGAUCAGCUACCUGGGGAUAGAUCAGCUACCUGGGGCUAGAUCAGCUACCUGGGGCUAGAUCAGCUACCUGGGGAUAGAUCAGCUACCUGGGGAUAGAUCAGCUACCUGGGGCUAGAUCAGCUAACUGGGGCUAGAUCAGCUAACUGGGGCUAUAUCAGCUAACUGGUGUUAGAUCAGCUACCUGGGGCUAGAUCAGCUAACUGGGGCUAGAUCAGCUAACUGGGGCUAGAUCAGCUAACUGGGCCUAGAUCAGCUACCUGGGGAUAGAUCAGCUACCUGGGGAUAGAUCAGCUAACUGGGGAUAGAUCAGCUACCUGGGGAUAGAUCAGCUACCUGGUGAUAGAUCAGCUACCUGGGGAUAGAUCAGCUACCUGGGGAUAGAUCAGCUACCUGGUGAUAGAUCAGCUACCUGGUGAUAGAUCAGCUACCUGGGGAUAGAUCAGCUACCGGGGGCUAGAUCAGCUACCUGGUGCGAGAUAACUGGUGCUAGAUCAGCUAAUUGGUGCGAGAUCAGCUAACUGGGGCUAGAUCAGCUAACUGGUGCGAGAUCAGCUAACUGGGGCGAGAUAACUGGGGCUAGAUCAGCUAACUGGGGCUAGAUCAGCUAACUUUGGUUAAUCCUACUUCCAUACAGGCCAUAUUAACUCUGGCUCUGGGUGUGAGGGUUAAGGAUUUGCUGGAUCGCUGGAUCGCACUUAUGUGAUUUUUCUAUCAUAUCGUCAACAUGUACAGACAGACACACAUUUACAGCACAACCAGGACGCCACACAAGGCCCAUAUCAGCACCAGAGGUUAUAGGGAGGUCAGCCUGUCUGACUUUGACCAGAACCCCCACCCCCCACCCAGUCAUGUGUAACUGGACCUGGCCUGGCAACCCCCUCCCAGUUCUCUGCUCUCCUCUCUCUGGGCUGGUAUAAAUAGAUGUCCAUGCCUGCUCCCUCCCUUAACCCAGGGGGCCAAGAAGCCAUUCUUCCCUUUUUAAACACUCUGACGUGUCUGUCUGGAUGCCUCCUGUCUGCACCUGGUUACCUCUCUGGACUACACACACACACACACACACACACCAAUAGACACACACACCCACACACACACACAAGCACACAAACACACACACACACAAACACACACACACACACACACAUUAGUCUACAGAAGCUCUGUGGCAAGGGGAGUGCAAACAGGGGUGUACGUUUGAGGAGAAGGGCUUUCGUUUUGACUGUAGAGACGCUGCCUGUCUUUAACCGACCAUGUAAAUGUCCCACUGGUGACCUGGCCUACACACUGAACUCUGUGUCCAGGCACUUCAUGCCCUCCAGCUCAGGUUUCCACACUAAACCGGUCAGUGAAAUUCAGCUUUAUUGUGCGAAUAUUGAUUGACAUACUGCAUGAAGACAUUCAUUCCAAAAGGCUAUAUCUCUUUUUGCAGAAAUGUUGGUAAAUUAGCUUUUAUGGUUUAAAAAACAUUUUGAAAGAGAUUAGUGCUUUUUUCACUAUCUAAUCAUGGCAUAGGGUUGUUCAAAGACAGACAUGUAUUUGUUAAAAAUCUAUCACUUGAUGGAUUCAUUUUAGAGAAACAAAUAAUAUAAUUUUUUUGCAAAACAUUAUAUCCGCCUCACUCUCAGAGAAAUAAGUAGUACUGCUGGGUUUUAGACAGUCAAAUGUAACAGAUGAAAAAGUAAUUAAAAACAGUAAUAUGAGAUCUGGAUUUAAAACAUUUACAUUUCACAGUUUAGUCAAAUGUAAGUCCAGAGCAAUUAACAGUAUGUGCAUUCAUCUAAAGAUAUCUAGGUGAGACAACCACAUAUCACAGUCAAAUAUACAGGAUACCUACAUUCCAUUCCAGCUGUUCCAGCACAAUGGAUAUAUAGCGUUUUGCAAAAAUACGUUAUAACAAUCAUACAAAUCUAAAAUCUAGGAAUUAAAAAUCGGAGAACAGUAAUAUUUUACACACAUGAAGAAACCCAUAAGUAAUAAUUUCUGAUGAAAAAACACAAAUGUGAGAAAUUUGUGGAUUUAGCAUUUUGGAAAUAAACUUCAUAUUGACUGUAGCGUUAAUGCUCAUUCACCUUGUCUUGGUGUACUGAUAGCAUUAUGGUGGACAGCUAAUGGAGGAGGCAGGUCUGUGAGCCUCUGCCUGUAGACUGACAGCUAAUGGAGGAGGCAGGUCUGUGAGCCUCUGCCUGUGGACAGACAGCUAAUGGAGGAGGAAGGUCUGUGAGCCUCUGCCUGUAGACAGACAGCUAAUGGAGGAGGCAGGUCUGUGAGCCUCUGCCUGUGGACAGACAGCUAAUGGAGGAGGAAGGUCUGUGAGCCUCUGCCUGUGGACAGACAGCUAAUGGAGGAGGAAGGUCUGUGAGCCUCUGCCUGUAGACAGACAGCUAAUGGAGGAGGCAGGUCUGUGAGCCUCUGCCUGUAGACAGACAGCUAAUGGAGGAGGCAGGUCUGUGAGCCUCUGCCUGUGGACAGACAGCUAAUGGAGGAGGAAGGUCUGUGAGCCUCUGCCUGUAGACAGACAGCUAAUGGAGGAGGCAGGUCUGUGAGCCUCUGCCUGUAGACAGACAGCUAAUGGAGGAGGCAGGUCUGUGAGCCUCUGCCUGUAGACAGACAGCCAAUGGAGGAGGCAGCAGGAGACAGAGGAGGGAUAUCAGUUACAGAUGCUCCAGUUAGGAGUGAACCAGUGUUUGCUGAGGUUGCAUUCUUUUAAAAAGACCCACUCUGGGCCUCCCAAGUGACACAGCAGUCUAAGGCACUGCAUCGCAGUGCUAGAAGCGUUACUACAGACACAGGUUCAUUCCCGGGCUGUGCUACAACCGGCCGUGGCCGGGAGUCCCAUAGGACGGCGUACAAUUGGCCCAGCAUCGUCCGGGUUAGGGGAGGGUUUGGCCGGUUGGGCUAUACUUGGCUCAUUGCACUCUAGCGCCUCCUUGUGGCGGGCUGGGUGCCUGCAGGCUGACCCCGGUCGCCAGUUGAACGGUGUUUCCUCGACACAUUGGUGCAGCUGGCUUUCGGGAUUAGCUGACAAGUGUUAAGGAGCGCGGUUAGCGGGGUCAUGUUUCGGCGGACGCAUGACUCCACCUUCGCCUCUCCCGAGACCGUUGGGGAGUUGCAGCGAAGAGACAACAUUUUAAAAUUGGGGAGAAAAAGGGGGAUAAAAUACAACAACAAAAUAAAAAUAAAAAAAGACAUUCUCUCUCUUCAGGUGACCCCGCUUCUGCUAAUCAGGGUGGUUUACAUUCUAUUGCAUGACCAUGUCUGGUGCUUUUGAGUAUGUGUGUGUGUGUGCGUUUGCGCUUGUGUGGGUGUGUUUGUGUGUGUGUGUGUGUGUGUGUGUGUGUGUGUGUGUGUGUGUGUGUGUGGGUGUGUGUGUGUGUGUGUGGGGGGGGGUGUGUAUGUGUGGGUAUGUUUGUGUGUGUGUGUGUGUGUGUGUGUGUGUGUGUGUGUGUGUGUGUGUGUGUGUGUGUGUGUGUGUGUGUGUGUGUGUGUGUGUGUGUGUGUGUGUGUGUGUGUGUGUGUGUGUGUGGGUGUGUGUACGUGUGGGUAUGUUUGUGUGUGUGUGUGUGUGUGUGUGUGUGUGUGUGUGUGUGUGUGUGUGUGUGUGUGUGUGUGUGUGUGUGUGUGUGUGUGUGGGUAUGUUUGUGGGUAUGUUUGUG